UACGUAGGGGGCAAGCGUUGUCCGGAAUCAUUGGGCGUAAAGCGCGUGUAGGCGGCUUGGUAAGUCCGCUCUGAAAGCCCGGGGCUCAACCCCGGGAGGCGGGUGGAUACUGUCAAGCUCGAGUCCGGAAGAGGCGAGUGGAAUUCCUGGUGUAGCGGUGAAAUGCGCAGAUAUCAGGAGGAACACCAAUGGCGAAGGCAGCUCGCUGGGACGUGACUGACGCUGAGACGCGAAGGCGUGGGGAGCGAACGGG
rnacentral:rRNA from 1 species